rnacentral:rRNA from 1 species
CUAAGAAUAUUCCGCAAUGGACGAAAGUCUGACGGAGCGACGCCGCGUGGAUGAAGAAGGCCGCAAGGUUGUAAAAUCCUUUUGCUGGGGAAGAAUAAGUCCAGGAGGGAAUGCCUGGAUGAUGACAUGAACCGGCGAAUAAGCCCCGGCCAACUACGUGCCAGCAGCCGCGGUAACACGUAGGGGGCAAGCGUUGUUCGGAAUUACUGGGCGUAAAGGGCAUGUAGGCGGUUUAGUAAGCUUGGCGUGAAAGCCCACAGCUCAACUGUGGGGUUGCGUUGGUAACUGCUGAACUUGAGUUACGGAGAGGGGGCUGGAAUUCCUGGUGUAGGGGUGGAAUCUGUAGAUAUCAGGAAGAAUACCGAUGGCGAAGGCAAGCUUCUGGCCGAUAACUGACGCUGAGGUGCGAAAGUGUGGGGAGCAAACA